ACUUAAAUUGAAGAGUUUGAUCAUGGCUCAGAUUGAACGCUGGCGGCAGGCCUAACACAUGCAAGUCGAGCGGCAGCGGGAAAGUAGCUUGCUACUUUUGCCGGCGAGCGGCGGACGGGUGAGUAAUGCCUGGGGAUCUGCCCAGUCGAGGGGGAUAACAGUUGGAAACGACUGCUAAUACCGCAUACGCCC
rnacentral:rRNA from 1 species